CUGCGAUUGGAACUAACUUCAUACGAUAUCUGUCGAUCGAUGAAUUCUAGAAUUUCUCACGUUUUUCAACAGAAAUUGGAUUACGUUACUAUCGAUAUAAAAUGAUCAAGAACACUUCGAAGUUUCCAGUUCCAGAACGAGAACGAGAUGGAGCGUGAGACUUACGGGACGAGGAGUGGUGCCAUCUUAUGUCUUGAAGCCUCGAUUUCGAGUUGCUCGGUUCGAAUUUAUCGACGAGAAAUCCAUAGAACUAAGGAUGUCUAAAUAAUUCUUGGUAUGGUUGGACGUUACGUUUCCUUCGAAGUCCGUCUAUCGUACAAUGGCAUCGAUUCGAUCCCAUUCUUUUGCAAGAUACGCGAAACAUAUAAGAAAGCAGCUCACGGCUUACAAUAUUGUUCUCCUAAUGGUGUACCAUUGUCUGGUUAGAAAAAUGCUAUUCUAAAUCAGAAAAUCGUGGACUGGAGGCGAGUAUCGGAUUCGAAAGGACAACAAAUGGCGAUAACUUUAUCCGCGGCUUUCGUGACGACUUCCAAUGGUUCUACCAUGGUCAAAGGAUUAUCUGUUAUUUUGAUACGGACGCGACGAGAAAUGUAAUUUCGUUGUCAUCUCUAAUAUUACAUUGUACGAGUAUGAGGAAAACGUUGCUGGAAUGUAGGAAACGAGAAAACGAGUUCCGUGAUCGUUCGACGAGUUUCACACCCUCUCUGAAUAAGCGACAAAAAUCCCACCCUCCUGAAUUACCCUCGACGUUCACCACGUCAAUUUUUUUCUUCGUUUGACAGCUACUAUUCCAAAGAAUUAAAGAGGAGGAAUUCUUUUUUUUAUUGAAACAUACCUUUUCAUGUUCUUUCCCCAAAUGGUGACUAUUUAAUUUCCUGAGUGAAACGAAGUAUCGUUGAAAGUGCUUCAAUAUAUCUUAAAUUAAAGCUUCUGCUCGAUGGUUUCUUUUAAUUUUCUGAAUGAUAAUCUUCGAGAGUACGAAAUACUUAAUUCUAAUAAUUGUUUGUAUCGCGUUAUCUUUCUCAGAAG